ensembl:lncRNA
UUUUUUCAAUUUAUCUUUUACAGAUUUGUGCUUAGUAAUUCAUUAUAGUAUGUAGUGAGAAUCUGUCCUAGUAUGCCUGUAUAUUUGUAGAUACUAAUGCUGUAAUUUAAUCAGCAUCACUAAGGUAAGUAUGAGAAACACAGUGUUAUUUUUGUCAUAGAGUCAUAUAAUAGAUUUUUAAUUUAUAUAUAUUUAAUUUAGGCAACUGGUGAUAGUCAUGGGUUCUCUAAUGUCUCUCAGACUGUGUUCUAUGACCGGAAGAGCUUUGGCUGUGUGUUAAGAAUCCACUACAAAAAUGAAUUUCAGCCAGACAUCGAACUGUAUGAAGGAGAGACAUUCAUACACAGUGUUGAUGCCAACUUCAUAGUGUGGGAGAAUUUUAAUCCGACCAUGCGUCAGGUAGCUUGCCUUCGCAAGGCCCAAACAUGGAAAUCUAUGCUAGUUGAUGAGAAGCAUCCUGAUAAGGCCUGGGGACCUCUUAAUUACAAGAGCUGUUUUGUUGAUGACUCUGAAAAACUAGGAAACCUUGACCCACCCUAUGAAAUCAAGAAUAGGAGUUCCAAGAAUUAUCUUACCUUUUCUCAAGAAAACAAUGCUAUUUAUGUUUUCAAUGUAAACAAUGUGGACCCAAAUUACAGUCCAAACUACAGAAUCCCAGUGGUUGAUCAGCUCUUUCACGUCUAUAAGUUUUUUAAUCCAAUCCUACAUUACACUCAUUACUGUGCUUCAUCUUCUACAGAUAUACCUCCAUCUAUCGAGACAUGCUUAAAGAAAUGUGUGUGAAUGAUUAGUUAGUAUUAUAGUUACUAGUGUGUGUGUGUAUAUAGUGUACAUACUGUCACUUUACUAAUGAGCCAUAUUCAUUAUUCAUUGAAUUUUAAAUUUAAAUAAUACUGAACCAUUCAGUUCAGUGGGAUUUUAUGUAUAAAUGGAUAUGUGAAUGAUUUACACAUCUUAUGUUUUAUAAAUAAAGCCCAUUGUCAAUUAUUUCA